rnacentral:sRNA from 1 species
UUAAGGCGGUCUAUGCUUACUGUCAUAUC